GACAGAGGUGCCGAGCGUUAGGCGGAAUCACUGGGCUUAAAGCGUGUGUAGGCGGGUCGUUAAGUGUCUUGUGAAAUCCCACCGCUCACCGGUGGAACGGCUGGGCAUACUGGCGACCUUGAGAGGCCUAGGGGCAGACGGAACAAGCGGUGGAGCGGUGAAAUGCGUAGAUAUCGCUUGGAACGCCGACGGCGAAAGCAGUCUGCUGGGGGCCUUCUGACGCUGGAGACACGAAAGCCAGGG
rnacentral:rRNA from 1 species